rnacentral:rRNA from 1 species
AUUGAACGCUGGCGGCAGGCUUAACACAUGCAAGUCGAACGAGUGGCGGAGGGGUGAGUAAUGCGUGGGAAUCCAGCUUAUGGAGGGGGAUAACUACGGAAAACUGUAGCUAAUACCGCCUAACAUAGGAUGAGCCCAAGUGGGAUGAGGUAAUUGGUGAGGUAAAGGCUCACCAAGCGGACGAUCUCUCGCUGGUCUGAGAGGAUGACCAGCCACACUGGGACUGAGACACGGCCCAGACGCCUACGGGAGGCAGCAGUGGGGAAUAUUGCACAAUGGGCGCAAGCCUGAUGCAGCCAUGCCGCGUGUAUGAAGAAGGCCUUAGGGUUGUAAAGUACUUUCAGUCGGGAGGCGUUACCGACAGAAGAAGCACCGGCUAACUCCGUGCCAGCAGCCGCGGUAAUAC